rnacentral:misc_RNA from 1 species
AGCAGCCGCGGUAAUUCCAGCUCCAAUAGCGUAUAUUAAAGUUGUUGCAGUUAAAAAGCUCGUAGUUGAAUUUCGGGGUUAGUAGGUUGGCCAUGCCUCUGGUAUGUACUGGUCUCACUGAUUCCUCCUUCCUGAUGAGCCGUAAUGCCAUUAAUUUGGUGUUGCGGGGAAUUUGGACUGUUACUUUGAAAAAAUUAGAGUGUUUAAAGCAAGCUAACGCUUGAAUACAUUAGCAUGGAAUAAUGAAAUAGGACGUUCGAUCCUAUUUUGUUGGUUUCUAGGAUUGACGUAAUGAUUAAUAGGGAUAGUUGGGGGCAUUAGUAUUCAAUUGUCAGAGGUGAAAUUCUUGGAUUUAUUGAAGACUAACUACUGCGAAAGCAUUUGCCAAGGAUGUUUUCAUUAAUCAAGAACGAAAGUUAGGGGAUCGAAGACGAUCAGAUACCGUCGUAGUCUUAACCAUAAACUAUGCCGACUAGGGAUCGGAUGAUGUUAAUUUUUUAAUGACUCAUUCGGCGCCUUA